rnacentral:rRNA from 1 species
GACGUAGGUGGCGAACGUUAUCCGGAAUUAUUGGGCGUAAAGGGUGCGUAGGUGGCCUGACAAGUUAUCAGUGGCAAAUCGAGGCUCAACCUCGUGGAAACUGGUAAUACUGUCCGGCUUGAGUACAGGAGAGGUUAACGGAACUCUAUGUGGAGCGGUAAAAUGCAAAGAUAUAUAGAAGAACAUCAAUAACGGCGAAGGCAGUUAACUAUUCUGUUACUGACACUGAGGCACGAAAGCGUGGGGAUCAAACAGG